GGCCACUCAGAGUUUAUUAGCUUCUUGUGUAACAGGCAGAAAUAGACUGAAGAGAUUUUGUGGACUCUGACACAAGGUCCAACAGUGUUUAUAAGAGAGGAAAAAAAAGUGGCUAACUUUGUCAUGAGCAGAACAUGCUGGAAAACUUUAGAUAACAAAUGGCUACUUAAAAAUCCUUGCGUAUUGUGAUUUUACAUUUUGAAUGAAAAUAGACGUUCAGAAUUCAUCUUCAGAGGACAGAAGUGAGCUGCCUCCCAUACUUCCGUGCCAAAGUUUCUUCAGUGGAGAGCAGCGAUGUGGGCAGAUGGCAAAGUGGUAGAAGGACUUUAAAACCAGCCGGGGGCCACUAACAUUGCAUGGGGACAGACAACAGCAUUCAUCUUCUACUCCUCCAAGUUAACGGUGGCACUGAUCAUUUCUCAGGCCAGGUUCUCACGCUGACCCUGCCGACAUUUUCAAGAGCGGCCCCUGGAAGACGCAGCCCUGAGCCCUGCGAACAAGCUCAUGUUGUGGGCAACAAUCAAGUGGAGGCUUAAAAAGUUUGGUUCGUACCUUAUCUCACACAUUACCAGUAAGCCCUCACCUCUCUAGAGCCCCUGAGGAUGCUGGGGGUACGUUCUGGAAGC
rnacentral:lncRNA from 1 species